rnacentral:lncRNA from 1 species
GAUACGGGACAAAUGGCCAUCUUAUCUUUUGAUGACAUUUUUGGAGGCCAACACAUAGAGGCUCAAGACUUGGUCACCUCAAGAAUACAAGAACAUGCAUGGAGGACCCGUUUUGAGCAUAACUUAAAGCAAUCUCGCGUGUGGAAGAUUGCUUGGAGCAUUUAAGGUUGAGGACUCACGGUUUUGGACCUUAAUUAAGGGCAUUUUGGACAUUACACAUGGUAUAUUUACACAUCAUGGCCGCCCCUCUCAUUAAGGGCAAAGUGAUCUUUUUAUCUUCAUUUGUAAUAUGUUAUAAAUAGGCCCCCUAAGUCUUAUUUUCACUAGAUUUGGAAUGAUGAAGAAUUGAAAGACAUAUUUUCUCUCUUUUGAGAGUGUAACACCCUUAGUUGUAGAGCUUGGAAAAGUCAUCCUUAGCAUAGGGUUGGAAAAGCCAAUAUUGAUCUUUGCUUGGAAACGGUAGAUCUUGAGGUGAGUUCAUUCCCUUGGUGGUCACUGUAAGAGUGUGGUUUUGAUUGUUAUAUUCAUUAGGGGUUAGUGUUGAAAUACACUUGGUUCUUAAUCUUGUAAUAAUCUUGGUCUCACUGUCUAUCUUUAUUUUCUUUCAAAUCGUGUAUGUGCUGUGUAGUGGACUGUUUUGGGGUCUUCGUUGAAUCCAAAACUUGUAUUAUUGUUGUUCAUAUUGUUCAUCACAUUUUGUAGCUGUUUUGGUGUUAAAAUAUACUCUUGUAUCUUGUAUUCUUGUUGUUGGUAGCGAAUCCGAGUAUGGUCUCCAUCUUGGUCCUAGAUUCCUUAAGAUUAGUGGAUUGAUUUGGUGUUUGUUUUGUGCUUCCCUUGUCUUUGCCUUAUUAUUUCGUAUCAAAGCAUGGAUUGAUUUUGUUCCCACAAUAUCAAUCUUACGCUUAAGACCUUGAAAACUACAAAAAAAAAUUGAAAUCUGAAAAUUCCAGAAACAGUCAAAUCUGCCACCUUUGUGUUCUUGGCCAAAAAUUGCGUUCUUGUUAUGUCUUGGCCGAGAUUUGUUUGUUGUAUGUCUAGAUCUAGUAGUGUUCUUGUUUGUUUUGUUGUUUUUAGUGUUAGUUUUCUUGUCCACUAACACUUUGAGUCUAGAUCUAAACUUGAGCUUGAACUUGUUGAAUUUGUAGUUGCCUUGGCCAAGUGUUGGAGAUAUUGUUAUUGUGGAUUGGAGUUGUCCGUGUGAAAAAUUGUUGGUGUUCUUGAAGAUUAUUGUUGUAGUUCUUGGUGAUGUUGUUGUUGUUCUUGAUAUUCAUACCACUUUCAUAUAUUGUUGAAGAUAAAGUGAAUGCUAAAUCCAAAAAGUUGAAGGAAAAAGGUGUAUUAUUUGUUAGUCUUGAAAGACACUACAACCAACAAGGACCUAUCAAUCAAGUCUCAACCACUUUCCAACACUUUUCCAUGAUUUAAGGAUCCAUGCUUUACGGAGAAGAACAAGAAAAAAGUCAAGUCUUGAAAAUUGAAAAAGGCCCCAAGACUUAUUUUCCCUCCUAAAACAAAUUCCACCAAUCUAAAUAAUUUUUUUUUGACCAAGACUUGAACAUUUGAGAAUAACCACUUGAUAAAUCGAACUAAUACGUGGCUGCCAUGUCAUCACUGCUACUGUUCACACAAUAUUUCCGAGCUCAAAAUGUUAGAUUCUUAGUUUCAUAUUAUUGUUUCAUUAGUUUCAUGUCUUGAUUCUAUAACUAAUUAACAACUAGUAAUCACCUACUUAGUUAUAGAUUAAUUAUUGAUUCCGUUUCUUCGUGUCUUCGUUAUUUGUGUGCUUUUCUCAUUUUUAACUCGUAGUAAAUUCUUUGUUUCAAGUUUGUAAUUAAAUUUUAUUUUUGUGUCUUGAGUCGAUCAAACAAGAAUCUAUUCCGGCCACCAAGUAGAAUUGACAUCUUAUUGACUACCGGAGUAUAAGCAACUUUCAAUAUUUUCCACUCCAAUUGUGAUAAUCACGAAGGUGAGUAAAUACGAGUGUUAGUGAGAAGUUUUUACUACUAAUCUUAUUUGUUCAUUUUGUAGGUUUAAAAGGUGAUAUAAGGGGAAUAUGUCUUCGAUAGUUGGGGAUUAUUGUGACUACGAAAUGGGAGACUAUGAUUGUAGUGAGGGGUUUUAUGGCUACAAAGUUGAGGUAGAUUGUGGAGGCUAUGAAAAUAGUCAUCAUCAAAACUUGGGCAGAUUUGAAAGUUACUGUUUUAAGGGAGAAAAUGAGGUGAAUGAAGUGCCUAGUGCUUAUGGUAACUUUAGAGAUGAUGUAGGACCUCGUGAUGGUUCUUAUGAUGAUGGUGGGGCAUAUGAGGAGUCUUACACUUCUUACUCUGAACCUAGAUUUGGUGUUAGGUAUAACCCUUUUGUUCGCAAAGCUUAUGAGAGUUAUGAUGACAGUACACGUGAGGAGUAUGAAGAUCCAUACUCUCCACCUUGUAGUACUUCUUAUCAAAGUCGAUAUAGUGUGAAUGAUUAUACUAGCUCUAGUGGAGGUUGUCCAAUGAGAAGAAGAGAAUAUGCAUCUCCAAAACCAAGGGGUACUCGUAUGCCUUACAAUGUUGAUCCAAGAAGGAGUGUACACUCCGAAAAGGUGACCAUGUGUGGGAUACCGGGCUGGCUCGUUGUACUAAAUGAUAGGUACUAUAGAAACUACAUCGUUCCAUCCAUGGUUGACUACUUGGGGUUGUUUCGUGAUCCUUUACUUGUUCCAUACUUCUUGGACGAGUUUAAGGUUACUGAGAGGGUCAAGGUUGUCGUCUACCAAUUUGAAUACCACGAGGAAGUGUGGUGCGAUAUUCUUCCAUUGACAUAUGGUUAUGUAUGCUUAGGUGUCAAUUGGUUUGCACAACAUAGAGUUCCAAACGUACAAAAUUGGCCAAAUAUUAGAAGAGACCAAUGAGGGAAUCGCCUCAUGACUUACUUGCUGCCCAAGCCACAAAGAGAAAUGCCUACCUGCUCCAAUCCAAAUUAUUAUGAGAGACAAAAGAUUAAGAGGAGUAAGGGAGUGCAGGGUGGUAAUCCGAGAGUGGAAAAAGGAGAGGUUGUGUGGAGCAAAGUAAGAGGAUUACCACCAAAUCAUGCUAACAUUAGUUGUCCUUCUAUUUCUAAGGACAUUUGUGUAGGUACCAACAUGGCAAGCGAAGAAGAACAAUGCCAAAAGAAAGUUUCUGCCCAAACUUUUGGAGGACCUUCACACCAUGACAAAGAAGAAUCUACUCUCAAGGACUUCAAGGUAAAAUAGCAAACUCUUACACUUUUGUACAUGUGAAUAAUAAUUGUGUCGCUAGCAGCCCAUUGAGUGUGAGUUAUAGCUUGCCUAUAUGUGAGUGUAUUGUUUCUUUGCCACUUGAUGAUGAUGUACAUAUCGUGAGCGUGGAUACAUUAUUUGAUCCUACUAAUGACCGAAUAGACUCUUCUUGUAAGAUCGAUUUAUGUCCACCUAUUGUUGAAACCAUAAUGUUGAAUGAAAGUACAUUAUCUUCUAAAAUUUGUGUUAAUCAACUUAUGUGUGAAAAUUACCCACCACUUGAGGAUGUGUAAGAUGUAAUUAAUGAACCUCAAGUGUGUGAUGAUGUUGAAAAUGUUGAUUAAAGUGAGAAUGAACCCGAGAGCUCUUCUUGGGGUAAUGUUGUGUUUGAAACAUCCUUGAAACUUGAUAUUGAUCAUUUAAAGAGUGAGGAACUUGCUUGUUCCAAAUCUGUCCGUGAGGUAGAUCAUACUCUUUUUAUGUAUAAUGUCUUGUUUGAAGAUGAUUUAAACACUCCUAAUGAACCUAGUGGUGAAAAUGAUGGUAUAGCUUACCUUGGAAGCUAUAGCCUAAUGCUAACCCAAUAUGGUGUGACAACAUUCCUCCUAAAGAGGGAAAGCUCUUCUUGGAAGAUGAGAGUACUCUUGAGGGUAAGGAAUGUGUAGUUGCAAAAGCUACUUCUUCUUCUACUUUGAGUGAUUUCAUUGUUGAGAGUACUCAUGGUGAUUAUUGGGAAACUAGUAGUGAGUACACACAUAAGAGCACCUUAGUAGAAGUCGAUUUGAGUGAUACCUUUUUUUCUACUCUCUAUUUGCUUUGGAUGAUAUGUAUGUUAUUGUAGAGAGUAUGUCAUUUAGUUUGGGUGUAGACCACGGGAAAGGGAAGUGUUGUCGAGACCCGUGUCUAUAGCCACUUUUCCCAUUUGACCCCGGUGCCAAAUUUAGAAAUGGUGAUGUUGGUGCACCAAACUUGCUACUUGGUCUACAUGACGAGCAAAGUGUCACUCUUGAUUUAUCCUACAGCCAAAUCCUUUAUCCAUCUUUUAUUGAGUUUUUAAUAUUUCUUUCAAAGGAUUCUUGGUUAUAUUUCAAAUAUGUGCAACCUUGGCAUGUUGAGAUGAUUUGUUAUGCUAAUCCUAACCCUCAUGCCAUGAGUACUUUGUAUUUGUUUGUCCUCUUUUCGGUUUUGCAAGAUUUGGAUUUGAGGUCGAAUCCUUUUCAAGAAGGGGAGGAUGAUACGGGACAAAUGGCCAUCUUAUCUUUUGAUGACAUUUUUGGAGGCCAACACAUAGAGGCUCAAGACUUGGUCACCUUGAGAAUACAAGAACAUGCAUGGAGGACCCGCUUUGAGCUUAACUUAAAGCAAUCUCGCAUGUGGAAGAUUGCUUGGAGAAUUUAAGGUUGAGGACUCACGGUUUUGGACCUUAAUUAAGGGCAUUUUGGACAUUACACAUGGUGUAUUUACACACCAUGGCCGCCCCUCUC